CAGCUGUGCUUACUGCACAUGCGCAGCCGCAAUAUCAACAUGACCAUCCACAUCCCAGCAGGCAGAAGAACUAGUUGGACUCAUUGUGUUACAAGAAAUAGGAUGUGCAGGGGCACCAGUCUCACGUGUACACAGAGAUCAAUAGAAGCAGACCACAAGCAUAAACAGUGAAAUUUUGUUCAAAUUUUCCUUCUUCGUGAUUCCUUGAGUUUAAGUAGUUAUUUGUGUGAGUAUCUUUAGGAUGGUGGGUUGGUGAUUUACUAGAGCAUGGGCAAUUUAUCAGUGGUACACUACCAAGGAAUAGGAAAGAUGUGAUGGCUAAUUUUAUCUAUCAACUUGACACAAUCUGGAGUCACCUGAAAAGAGAGGUUCAGUGUGGUGUUUUCAGAUCAGGUUGGCCUAUGGAUAUGCCUUGAUUAUAUUAACUGAUGUGGAAAUAGACACCUACUCUCAGUGGUGCCGAAUCACAGAAAGGCGUUUCUAAUCUGUAAGGUGGACAGAGCAUGCUGAGCACUAGCAGAUGUAGCUGGUUCAUGGCUCUCUGCUCCUGACUCUGGAUAGAGUGUGACCUAUUUCAAUAGCCUACUGCCAUGGCAUCCCUAAAGAUGAGCUAUUAUCUAGAAGUGAGAUAGAACGAACUCUUUCUCCACUGAGUUUCUUUCCUCAAGGUAUUCUGUCACAGCCCCAGAAAGUGAAACUAUGACAGACCCACAUGGCAUAGCAUUCAAUAUGCACUAAGUGAACAGUGAAGUCACAGCGUGAAGUUCUGUUCAGGUGAAAAGUGACACAAAAUUGACUUAUAUUAAGUCAAUUUUAUUAUAUUAGCAAAUAGUGUGUGUAUGUACAUAUAUAGGUAAGUGUGUAUUCACUCUGUCCUUAUUAGUGUAGUGAACAAAACAGUGUGUUUCUCUGUCAUGGUUUCGUUCACACACAUCAUGUACUUUGGUCACAGUGUGCUUGUUCCCUGUUCUUCACCAGAUUCUGUACCCACUGAUUAUCAUUUCUUCCCAAAUGGUUAUAGUUUUAAUUUUGUGUCACUUAUUCACCUGAUUCCAUGUAUGACAGACAGCAUGUAAUUAUUUGUACUUCUGUUUCUGGAGUAUUUCAUUUAACAGAAUGAUAUCCAAUCUAACCAUGUUUCAGGAAAAUUACCCCAUUUCCUCUGGGUGGCAGAAUAAAACCCCACUGUGUGCAUACCGUCUGCGAUGGUUAACAUUGACUGUGAACUUGACAGAUUCUAGAAUCACUUAGGAAGACAAAUCUCUAGCUGUGCCUGAGAUGGAUCAUCCCGAUUGCAUUAACUGAGAUUGGAAGGCCCACUCUACAAGUGGUGGAACCAUUCCAUGGGCUGGAGGAGAAACAUGAGAAAGUGAGCCAAACACCGGAGUUCAUUUCUCUACUUCCUAACUUGGAUACCAUGUGACCAGCUGCCACAUGCUCCUGCUACUGUGAUUUCUUUGCCAUAAUGCACUGUGCCCUUGAACUGUGACAAAAUAAACAUUCCCUUCCUUGA